rnacentral:rRNA from 1 species
GUGUUAGUGGAAGCGUCUGGAAAGGCGCGCGAUACAGGGUGACAGCCCCGUACACAAAAAUGCACAUACUGUGAGCUCGAUGAGUAGGGCGGGACACGUGGUAUCCUGUCUGAAUAUGGGGGGACCAUCCUCCAAGGCUAAAUACUCCUGACUGACCGAUAGUGAACCAGUACCGUGAGGGAAAGGCGAAAAGAACCCCGGCGAGGGGAGUGAAAAAGAACCUGAAACCGUGUACGUACAAGCAGUGGGAGCCUCUUAAUGGGGUGACUGCGUACCUUUUGUAUAAUGGGUCAGCGACUUAUAUUCUGUAGCAAGGUUAACCGAAUAGGGGAGCCGAAGGGAAACCGAGUCUUAACUGGGCGUUAAGUUGCAGGGUAUAGACCCGAAACCCGGUGAUCUAGCCAUGGGCAGGUUGAAGGUUGGGUAACACUAACUGGAGGACCGAACCGACUAAUGUUGAAAAAUUAGCGGAUGACUUGUGGCUGGGGGUGAAAGGCCAAUCAAACCGGGAGAUAGCUGGUUCUCCCCGAAAGCUAUUUAGGUAGCGCCUCGUGAAUUCAUCUCCGGGGGUAGAGCACUGUUUCGGCAAGGGGGUCAUCCCGACUUACCAACCCGAUGCAAACUGCGAAUACCGGAGAAUGUUAUCACGGGAGACACACGGCGGGUGCUAACGUCCGUCGUGAAGAGGGAAACAACCCAGACCGCCAGCUAAGGUCCCAAAGUCAUGGUUAAGUGGGAAACGAUGUGGGAAGGCCCAGACAGCCAGGAUGUUGGCUUAGAAGCAGCCAUCAUUUAAAGAAAGCGUAAUAGCUCACUGGUCGAGUCGGCCUGCGCGGAAGAUGUAACGGGGCUAAACCAUGCACCGAAGCUGCGGCAGCGACACUAUGUGUUGUUGGGUAGGGGAGCG